rnacentral:rRNA from 1 species
AUACGUAGGGUGCGAGCGUUGUCCGGAAUUACUGGGCGUAAAGAGCUCGUAGGUGGUUUGUCGCGUCGUCUGUGAAAUUCCGGGGCUUAACUCCGGGCGUGCAGGCGAUACGGGCAUAACUUGAGUACUGUAGGGGAGACUGGAAUUCCUGGUGUAGCGGUGAAAUGCGCAGAUAUCAGGAGGAACACCGGUGGCGAAGGCGGGUCUCUGGGCAGUAACUGACGCUGAGGAGCGAAAGCAUGGGUAGCGAACAGGAUUAGAUACCCUGGUAGUCCAUGCCGUAAACGGUGGGCGCUAGGUGUAGGGGUCUUCCACGACUUCUGUGCCGUAGCUAACGCAUUAAGCGCCCCGCCUGGGGAGUACGGCCGCAAGAUUAAAACUCAAAUGAAUUGGCGGGG